rnacentral:rRNA from 1 species
GACGAACGCUGGCGGCGUGCUUAACACAUGCAAGUCGAACGGAAAGGCCCUGCUUUUGUGGGGUGCUCGAGUGGCGAACGGGUGAGUAACACGUGAGUAACCUGCCCUUGACUUUGGGAUAACUUCAGGAAACUGGGGCUAAUACCGGAUAGGAGCUCCUGCUGCAUGGUGGGGGUUGGAAAGUUUCGGCGGUUGGGGAUGGACUCGCGGCUUAUCAGCUUGUUGGUGGGGUAGUGGCUUACCAAGGCUUUGACGGGUAGCCGGCCUGAGAGGGUGACCGGCCACAUUGGGACUGAGAUGCGGCCCAGACUCCUACGGGAGGCAGCAGUGGGGAAUGUUGCACAAUGGGCGGAAGCCUGAUGCAGCAACGCCGCGUGCGGGAUGACGGCCUUCGGGUUGUAAACCGCUUUCGCCUGUGACGAAGCGUGAGUGACGGUAAUGGGUAAAGAAGCACCGGCUAACUACGUG